AGAACGAACGCUGGCGGCAUGCCUAAUACAUGCAAGUCGAACGAACUCUUCGGAGUUAGUGGCGCACGGGUGCGUAACGCGUGGGAAUCUGCCCCUUGGUUCGGAAUAACAGUUGGAAACGACUGCUAAUACCGGAUGAUGACGAAAGUCCAAAGAUUUAUCGCCAAGGGAUGAGCCCGCGUAGGAUUAGCUAGUUGGUGAGGUAAAGGCUCACCAAGGCAACGAUCCUUAGCUGGUCUGAGAGGAUGAUCAGCCACACUGGGACUGAGACACGGCCCAGACUCCUGCGGGAGGCAGCAGUAGGAAUAUGGACAAUGGCGAAAGCCUGAUCCAGCAAUGCCGCGUGAGUGAUGAAGGCUUAGGGUUGUAAGCUCUUUACCCGAGAUGAUAAUGACAGUAUCGGAGAAUACGCCCGACUAACUCCGCGCCAGCACGCCGC
rnacentral:rRNA from 1 species